rnacentral:rRNA from 1 species
UGAGUAACCUGCCCUUCACUCUGGGAUAACUCCGGGAAACCGGGGCUAAUACUGGAUAUGACUCGAACAGGCAUCUGUUUCGGGUGGAAAGAUUUUAUUGGUGGAGGAUGGACUCGCGGCCUAUCAGCUUU